rnacentral:rRNA from 1 species
UACAGAGGGUGCGAGCGUUAAUCGGAAUGAUUGGGCGUAAAGGGCGCGUAGGCGGCGCGGUAAGUCACUUGUGAAAUCUCUGAGCUUAACUCAGAACGGCCAAGUGAUACUGCAGUGCUAGAGUGCAGAAGGGGCAAUCGGAAUUCUUGGUGUAGCGGUGAAAUGCGUAGAUAUCAAGAGGAACACCUGAGGUGAAGACGGGUUGCUAGGCUGACACUGACGCUGAGGCGCGAAAGCUAGGGGAGCAAACGGG